rnacentral:snRNA from 1 species
AUACUUACCUGGCGUGGAGGUUAACCGUGAUCAAGAAGGAGGUUCCUCUAGGGUGAGGCCUUUCCAUUGCACUACGGUUGGGCUGACCCCUACGAUUACCCCAAAUGUGGGUAACUCGAACGCGUAAUUUUUGAUAGUGGGGGACUGCGUUCGCGCUAUCCCCUU